CCUACGGGAGGCAGCAGUGGGGAAUUUUGGACAAUGGGCGCAAGCCUGAUCCAGCAAUGCCGCGUGAGUGAAGAAGGCCUUCGGGUUGUAAAGCUCUUUUGUCAGGGAAGAAACGGUGGGAGCUAAUAUCUCCCGCUAAUGACGGUACCUGAAGAAUAAGCACCGGCUAACUACGUGCCAGCAGCCGCGGUAAUACGUAGGGUGCAAGCGUUAAUCGGAAUUACUGGGCGUAAAGCGUGCGCAGGCGGUUUUGUAAGUCUGUCGUGAAAGCCCCGGGCUCAACCUGGGAAUUGCGAUGGAGACUGCAAGGCUUGAAUCUGGCAGAGGGGGGUAGAAUUCCACGUGUAGCAGUGAAAUGCGUAGAGAUGUGGAGGAACACCGAUGGCGAAGGCAGCCCCCUGGGUCAAGAUUGACGCUCAUGCACGAAAGCGUGGGGAGCAAACAGGAUUAGAUACCCUGGUAGUCCACGCCCUAAACGAUGUCUACUAGUUGUCGGGCUUUAAUUAACUUGGUAACGCAGCUACGCGUGAGUAGACCGCCGNGGAGGUACGGUCGGUCGAGAGUUAAACGUACGAAGAAGUUAGNGGNGNGAGAGNGCGAGGACGACGACGAGGGAGGAGG
rnacentral:rRNA from 1 species